rnacentral:rRNA from 1 species
CCUACGGGAGGCUGCAGUGAGGAAUAUUGGUCAAUGGGCGCGAGCCUGAACCAGCCAAGUAGCGUGAAGGAUGACUGCCCUACGGGUUGUAAACUUCUUUUAUAUGGGAAUAAACUGUUCCACGUGUGGGAUUUUGUAUGUACCAUAUCAAUAAGGAUCGGCUAAAUCCGGGCCAGCAGCCACGGUAAUACGGAGGAUCCGAGCGUUAUCCGGAUUUAUUUGGUUUAAGGGGAGCGUAGGUGGGUUGUUAAGGCAGUGGUUAAAGUUUGCGGCUCAACCGUAAAAUUGCAGUUGAAACUGGCAGUCUUGAGUACAGUAGAGGUGGGCGGAAUUCGUGGUGUAGCGGUGAAAUGCUUAGAUAUCACGAAGAACUCCGAUUGCGAAGGCAGCUCACUGGACUGCAACUGACACUGAGGCUCGAAAGUGUGGGUAUCAAACAGGAUUAGAUACCCCUGUAGUC